ACAAGCGGUGGAUGAUGUGGAUUAAUUCGAUGCAACGCGAAAACCUUACCACCUUGACAUGGCAGGAAUCCCGAAGAGAUUGGGAGUGCUCGAAAGAGAACCUGCACACAGGUGCUGCAUGGCUGUCGUCAGCUCGUGUCGUGAGAUGUUGGGUUAAGUCCCGCAACGAGCGCAACCCUUGCCAUUAGUUGCUACGAAAGGGCACUCUAAUGGGACUGCCGGUGACAAACCGGAGGAAGGUGGGGAUGACGUCAAGUCCUCAUGGCCCUUAUAGGUGGGGCUACACACGUCAUACAAUGGCCGGUACAGAGGGUAGCCAACCCGCGAGGGGGAGCCAAUCCCACAAAGCCGGUCGUAGUCCGGAUCGCAGUCUGCAACUCGACUGCGUGAAGUCGGAAUCGCUAGUAAUCGCGGAUCAGCAUGUCGCGGUGAAUACGUUCCCGGGUCUU
rnacentral:rRNA from 1 species